GUGCUCGCUUCGGCAGCACAUACACUAAAACUGGAACGAUACAGAGAUUAGCAUGGCCCUGCGCAAGGACGACACGCAAAUUCGUGAAGGGCUCCGUAUUUUA